rnacentral:rRNA from 1 species
AACGAACGCUGGCGGCAUGCCUUACACAUGCAAGUCGAACGGUAACAGGUCUUCGGAUGCUGACGAGUGGCGAACGGGUGAGUAAUACAUCGGAACGUGCCUAGUAGUGGGGGAUAACUACUCGAAAGAGUGGCUAAUACCGCAUGAGAUCUACGGAUGAAAGCAGGGGAUCGCAAGACCUUGUGCUACUAGAGCGGCCGAUGGCAGAUUAGGUAGUUGGUGGGAUAAAAGCUUACCAAGGCGAAGAUCUGUAGCUGGUCUGAGAGGACGAUCAGCCACACUGGGACUGAGACACGGCCCAGACUCCUACGGGAGGCCGCAGUGGGGAAUUUUGGACAAUGGGCGCAAGCCUGAUCCAGCAAUGCCGCGUGCAGGAUGAAGGCCUUCGGGUUGUAAACUGCUUUUGUACGGAACGAAAAGCCCUGGGUUAAUACCCUGGGGUCAUGACGGUACCGUAAGAAUAAGCACCGGCUAACUACGUGCCAGCAGCCGCAGUAAGAC